AUCCUGGCUCACGAUGAACGCUAGCGGCAGGCUUAAUACAUGCAAGUCGAGGGGCAGCACAAGUAGCAAUACUGGGUGGCGACCGGCAAACGGGUGCGGAACACGUACGCAACCUUCCUUUAAGCGGGGGAUAGCCCAGGGAAACUUGGAUUAAUACCCCAUAAGACGGUGGUGUGGCAUCACACAGCUGUUAAAGCUACGGCACUUAAAGAUGGGCGUGCGGCUGAUUAGGUAGUUGGCGGGGUAACGGCCCACCAAGCCAACGAUCAAUAACUGGUGUGAGAGCACGACCAGUCACACGGGCACUGAGACACGGGCCCGACUCCUACGGGAGGCAGCAGUAAGGAAUAUUGGUCAAUGGACGCAAGUCUGAACCAGCCAUGCCGCGUGGAGGAUGAAGGCCCUCUGGGUUGUAAACUUCUUUUAUUGGGGAAGAAACCCAUCUUUUCUAAGGUGGUUGACGGUACCCGAUGAAUAAGCACCGGCUAACUCCGUGCCAGCAGCCGCGGUAAUACGGAGGGUGCAAGCGUUAUCCGGAUUCACUGGGUUUAAAGGGUGCGUAGGUGGGCAGGUAAGUCAGUGGUGAAAUCUCCGGGCUUAACCCGGAAACUGCCGUUGAUACUAUCUGUCUUGAAUGUAGUGGAGGUGAGCGGAAUAUGUCAUGUAGCGGUGAAAUGCUUAGAUAUGACAUAGAACACCUAUUGCGAAGGCAGCUCGCUACACUAUUAUUGACACUGA
rnacentral:rRNA from 1 species